CCUGAGGAGACCCCGUCCGGUCCGCGGGCCCCGUCACCCUGUGGAGACCCCGUCCCUCAGGUCCCACCGCCCGGAAAAGGCCGCGCGUCCCGACCCCGGAGCCGCUCAGCCCGCAGAGGGAAAGGGGGCCCGGCUGGUCAGGAGCUCGGGAGUCGGGAAUGAAGCAUGUAGAAACUCUGAACUCUUACGAGUUGGGAAGUGGCAUUCUCUCUUCCCUCCAGCCCUCCCAUCUGUUCUUUUUCCGAAGAAACCCCUGCAGAGCGGCGGGCGCAGGCAGCAGGUGCAGAGCAGAUGGAGCCCGCGCCGCGCGCUCCGAGGAGCCCCCCUCCUCUCUGUCCCUGAAAAG